rnacentral:rRNA from 1 species
AUGCCAUUCCAGGAUUGUAUUGGGGAAAUAGAUGGUACUCAUGUCACUUCCCGAGUGCCGAGGUCACAAGCUGCAGCAUAUAGAAGGAGGAAACACUACACAAGCCAGACUGUGCUUGCUGCUGUUGGCUUCGAUCUGAAGUUCACAUAUGUGUUGGCUGGGUGGGAAGGAUCAUCACAUGAUGCUAACAUUCUCAAUGAUAACAUGAGUUGUCAUGGUGGAAACAACAUGCCCGAUGGCAAGUUCUACCUAGGAGAUGCUGGCUAUGCAUGUCGUCCAGGUGUUCUCCCACACUUCAGGAAAACCAGGUACCAUCUGAAUGAGUUCUCUCGUAGGAACUAUCCUAGGACUCCUCAGGAACUGUUCAAUCUCAGACCCUUCAGCCUUAGAUUAAUGGUUGAGAGGGCAUUUGAAGCUUUGAAGAAUAGGUUUAAGAUCCUGGAUCAAAAGCCAUUCCACCUUACCCUACCCAGGUCAAGCUUGUUCUUGCAUGUUGCAUCAUUCACAACUGGAUCCUGCAAUAGAGAACUGAUGAACUUAUGCCGAAGGAGGAAGAUGUGGCGCCUAAUGAGGUUAUCAGCUCCAGCCAUGGUGUGGAGGCGUUUGACAAAGAAGCUUGGAAGAACAAAAGGUUGGAGUUGGCUCAUGAAUGUGGGAUAA